rnacentral:rRNA from 1 species
GUCCUACGGGGGGCAGCAGUAGGGAAUCUUUCACAAUGGGCGAAAGCCUGAUGGAGCAACGCCGCGUGCAGGAUGAAGGCCUUCGGGUUGUAAACUGCUUUUAUAAGCGAGAAAUAUGAUGGUAACUUAUGAAAAAGCAUCGGCUAACUCCGUGCCAGCAGCCGCGGUAAUACGGAGGAUGCGAGCGUUAUCCGGAUUUAUUGGGUUUAAAGGGUGCGCAGGCGGCGAGUUAAGUCAGCGGUAAAAUUUCGGGGCUCAACCCCGACGAGCCGUUGAAACUGGCUUGCUAGAGUGGGCGAGAAGUA